ACGGAGCCGGGAAGAGAGCGGCUGGGGGAGCGGGCUGCCCCUGGCUGCUGGAUCUCCGGACUCCCGCCGACUCUCCCCCACUUGCCGGCGUUGGACUGUGAGAGCCACGCACCAGCGCCAGACAGCAACGACCCGCGGGCUCCUGCUGCUUGGCUUGGAUUAAAUUGGCCGCCCCGGAGCCCAGCGAGAGGAGGUGGCGGCGGCGGAGGGAAGCGCCGGUGGCGGCGGGCGGGCAGGCGGCGGCGGUGGCUGCUGCUGGGACUGGGGGAGCCAGCAUGACCAGGCUCUGAAAACACUUCAUCAGAAAUUUCAGACCGGACAGACUCAUAGUGGCUUCUGAGCCAGUGAGACCGAGGCUGCCAAAGCAUGCUGGUGCCAAGCUGUCGGAUGAUGCACGUAGCCAGGCCAGUGGUGGUGCUCCUGUGCUUUCUGCUUUCUGCUGAUGCUGAAACACCGCCAAAGUUUACAAGAACUCCCGUUGAUCAGACAGGGGUCUCUGGAGGAGUCGCAUCAUUCAUCUGCCAAGCUACAGGAGACCCAAGACCUAAAAUUGUCUGGAAUAAAAAGGGAAAGAAAGUCAGCAAUCAGAGAUUUGAGGUAUUAGGUCCAUUGUUCUGUUCCUCUGAAAAACAUUCAUUCUAACAUCACAUUUAUUUUAUGUUUUUAA